UACAGAGGUGGCAAGCGUUGUUCGGAAUUACUGGGCGUAAAGGGCGCGUAGGCGGCCCGUCAAGUCCCGUGUGAAAGCCCCCGGCUCAACCGGGGAACGGCGCGGGAAACUAGCAGGCUUGAGUUCGGGAGAGGGAAGCGGAAUUCCGGGUGUAGCGGUGAAAUGCGCAGAUAUCCGGAGGAACACCGGUGGCGAAGGCGGCUUCCUGGACCGACACCGACGUUCAGGCACGAAAGCGUGGGGAGCAAACAGG
rnacentral:rRNA from 1 species